CUGUAGUCAACAAAGUUAGGCUGAUUAACGCCACAGCAAGGGAAACUGCACGCUGUGGGGAAGCUUGAGGCAUCUCAAAAGGGUGGAUUAAGACAAGGGCACCCAAUAAAGCUUUGGGGGCUGGAGUUAGUCACAGGAUGGUGUUGGCAGGAUUUCAUCAGAUUCUGUAAACUGGGGAGUUUCUGGAAAAGAACCGGAAGACAGUAAAGGUCAUAAAUGAUGUACCUUUUACAUCUGGCAGAGGGCCAGGACAGUUCUGGGGUUCAUAUUUCUCUCCUUCUCUACUCUGAGGUUUAUACGGCCCCCCCACCGCCCCCAAGGUAAGUGUUUCUAAAGUUCUCAUGGAUUUCCUGUUAGAAUCCAACAAGUUGCAUUUACUGCUUUUCAAUCUUCAGCAUCUUCUUUGUGGCUGGGGUAAAGAAGCUCACUGUGGACUCUCAUUCAGUCUUGGGUGCAUUGGGCAACCUCUGGGAAAAGCACUGCUCUGAUGAACAGGGGAAUGAAUGACCACUGCCACACAGGCAGGUUUGGGGAGCUGCAGGCCAUCCUGUUCGGUGCUGGUGUGCUAGCUAUGGGGGUAAACAAAGGCAAAGAGGUUCUCAGGUCGGGGUGGUGGGUGGAUAGAGAGAGGAAUGUGAAAGAGAGAGAUCUAAACAGAAAAGCUUGCCAGAAAUUCAGAAAAAAAAAACCCACCUUUUAAUUCUGUAGUUCCCAAUAUUCACAGCUGUUAUAAAGCUCACAUUUGGGCUAAUUCCACAAGUUAUUAAUCAUCCACUGCUCGCUAUAUUGGACUUGUGGAUCACAUCAGAGCUCCACAAGCAAUUAAAAGUCCUCCUUUGCUUGUGAAAUGGCCUAACUAUAAAUCUCAGGAGGGUCAGCCCUGUUCUUCACCUGAGAUACCUGGAAGUCAUGCUGACCUCCACUCAUCCAUCCCAUGAACAGGUCGAAGGAUUUGGCAACAUGCUGAACAAGCUUUGUCCUGGGUCCUUGGGAGGGGUUGGAGGUGGGGCGAGGCAGUACUAUGGUCUCUUUCAUAAGUAAACCUUUGCAGUCUCUAAUAUUUUAUACUAUCUCUUUCAUUCACACUUAAAAUAGUAUGAGGAACCUACUUCGUGUCCUGCCAUGCCAGGCAUGGAUGAUUCUGAGAUGAAUAAAACACAGUCCUUGCCCUGGGGAAGCUAAUGGUCGGGGUAAGAAACAGGCACGUCAAAGCUUACAAUUUAGUGUCAUCGUUGCUGUACAGAUGGAGGCACUAAGUCCUGUGCGGUCAUGACAAAGGAUGCAAGUAACUCUACGUGUUGGGCCAUAAGAAAAGGCUUUGUAGAGAGAAGGUCUAUGCAACUCAGGCUUUUACCAGUACAAGGGAUUUCAGCAGGAGAAAAGUCUGGAGGGAGAAGCUAUGAAGCAGAGGGAACCACAGUGCACACAGAGGCAUGGAAGAUUCCCGAAGACAGUGGCUGCAGCAGAGGGUGUCUGGCAAGAGAGGAUGGAGUUGAGGCUGGAAAGCUGCAGUGUAGGAAGAGGUUGUUGCCAUGUGUGUAUAUUUUCUGCAGAAGAAAAGAAAAGCACUACUUCUAGGGUGAUAUUAUGUUGUAUGUAGAGAAAACUCUGGGACACCAUGCAGAAGUGGGAUGUGGGAUAGAAAACUUAGGCUGGAGAACUGAUGCUAUUAACUGUAAAUUCCAUUUCAUUAUCAGCAACAAAUAUUUAUGCAGCCUCUGGAGGGAAGGAAGUCCCACAGUCAGUGAUGAGUGGAAGAUACAGAGGCCAAACAAAAGGCACAGUCCUUGAGUCAUUGUGUUUGCAAUUUAAGAUGCACACACUGGGAUGAAACACAAGAGAAUGAAUAGUGAGACAGAUGUAACGCUUUUGCUAAACAACUCUUAUCUACAAAGCUUUGCUAUGCUUUUGUAUUUUGUUGGCAUCUUAGCACAUUGGCUUUCAAAUGUUUUUGACCAUAACCAAAAGUUAGAAAUAUAUUUUCAUGCCAUGAUCCAGAAUCCAUAAAAAAAUUUCACCGAGUACUAUUGAGAUACACUCUGAUAUUUUACAGGCUAUUACGUUUUAAUUUUUUUUUAAUGCUGGUUUCUGACCCUCUAAAUUGAUUCUGUGACCCACUGUUGGGUUAUAACUGUUGGCUUGAAAAUUCCGGCUUUCCCAUGUCUUGGAGGGGGAAAUGUUGGAGGAAAUGGAACAGAUGGGGGAGUGAAAGAGUGAGCGUGACUGCAGUGAGGGAAGGGACCGCAUGAGCAAUUGCCACAUCAAAUUCCCAUGACCAAAGAGGGCACUAAAUGAACAGGGCCCAGCCUGGGCCACAUAGUGAGACUCUGCCUCUACAAAAAAAAAAUAUCUAUCUAUCUAUCUAUCUAUCUAUAUAUA
rnacentral:lncRNA from 1 species